rnacentral:rRNA from 1 species
CGCGUAGGCGGUGUCGUAAGUCGGGUGUGAAAGCCCUCGGCUCAACCGAGGAAUUGCAUUCGAAACUGCGGCACUAGAGUAUGGAAGGGGGGAGUGGAAUUCCUGGUGGAGCGGUGAAAUGCGUAGAUAUCAGGAGGAACGCCGGUGGCGAAGGCGACUCUCUGGUCCAUCACUGACGCUCAGUGCGCGAAAGCUAGGGGAGCAAACA